CGUAGAGAAUCUAUGACUAUAAUGGCUUUCAUUACCCAAGCUCAUUCCCUCUCACUUUCCCCAGCUCUGCACUUCACUUUGGAGUUGGCCUGUCCUCUUGAUUGUGACCAGCUUCUCAGAGGAAGGGCAGCUCCAGCCAGAGAAGACUGCAGCCCCUGAGCCUAAACCCACAGCUUUCUUCCACUGCCUUUCCUUUGCCAGCUCCUCUGCCACUGAUGUCUGGUUCUGUUUCAGAGGGAUCCCCUGGAGAGAGGGUGCAGCAUGUUUCACUGACAUGGACUUUGAGCAAAUGGAUUGGAACUUACCUGUUGGUCUAUACAAUGCUGCAUGUGCUGAGUCACUCCAAUUGUGUCUGACUCUUUGUGACCCUAGGGACUACAGUCCAUCAGGCUCCUCUGUCCAUCGGAUUCUCCAGAUGGACACUCAUUCCUUCAUCUGUACAAUGGGCAAAAAUCAUAUCUUCCUCAUGAAGCUUGUGAGGAUUAAAAGGGAUCACCCAUGGAAAGAGCUUAACAGUGCCAAGUUCAUAAUCACCACCACUACUUCUACUGCUAUCCAGGUCAUCUUACCCUAGGGGCCUUGCAUUGCCACCCCCUACUGGAAGCUGCAAGGGAGCUGGGAUGACACAGUCUCCUGGGGUGAGUCAGCCUUCUGGGGCACAGAAGAGUGGAGAACAAAGCUGUAAUGUAAGUAGAGCACAGCGCUUCCCUCCUGUGCCCAGCGGCACAGGGCCUUGGCCUCUCCUCUGUAGGACGGGACACCCGUGGCAGCCUGGUAGACUACAGUCCAUGGGGUCUCAAAGAGUCGGACAGGACUGAGCAACUUCACUCUUUUUCAGGGAGAUAGCCUGACCCUGACUACCUGUGAAGGGUUGUAAGGAAGUGAAACUAACACAUCCCCCUGCCUGAGGCUUGCCCUCUAGGAGAUAUUUACAAGAAUUAAAUGGUCUUUCUGUUUCCUCACCUCCCCCCAUCUUUGAUCCAUAAAAAAAACCCUGGCAACCAGACGCCGACAAGAAGGUUAUUUUGAGGCGCUAGCCUGCCAUCUUCUUGGUCAGCCAGCUCCCGAAUAAAGUCCCUUCCUUGUCUCAACCCCUCGUCCCUUGGAUUUAUUGGCCUAUCCAGCGAGCAGAGUGAGCUUAGACUUCAUAAUACCUCUCUCUUCCCUCAUUCCUUCUCUUCUCUCUUUCCCAACUUAUGCCUCAAAUUUUAGAAUCCUUAGGUUCUAGGCAUCUGGCAUUUCUUUUUUCUCCUUCCCAGCCUUUCUGUCCCUCCUAACCCACUGGAAGAACCUUAGCAUUUGGGCCAGCCCAGAGCCAGUGGUUGAGCCUGGAUGGGAAGCUGCUGCAAGCCAGGGUGUUUGUCUGGGGGGGAGGUCCGUGUGUGGCCUCUGUGGUCAGGCUCUGCUGUUCAGCCUCCCACUUCUCUGAACCAAGGCCACCAACCUUCUCUGAGGAGCACACAGCCACUAAUGCUAUUCAGUGCCUGGGCUCCUGGC
ensembl:lncRNA